CCCUCCCUGAAAUCCCUCUCAUCAGCAGCAAACUCUUGCUAGCAAACCCCAGCCUAACCAAAUGUUCAGUUAUUUGCACUAAGACUAAUCUGAGCCUGUAAGAUACAAUAAGAAAGACAAAAAAACAGAGGAUAAGAGAGCAUCCACAGGGUGCCUGGUAGAUGCUGAGAAUGGAAAGGAUUUUUUUUUUCACUCCAGCUUGUUCAUUUGCAGAGCUAGUUGCAGCAAUCUCUUGAUAUCCACAGUCAUUUGCAAUGCAACAGCAAGAACAGCUUUCUCCAGAAACUACACUGCCACAAUAAACAGGCUGAAACAGAGUAUACACUUUCUGCAGAGGCUUGCUAGGAAACACUGUAGCAUGCUUUUUAAUUUGAUUAUGUUAGCAUGAUCCUUUCUACAGCAUGUUUAACAUAAAGGAGAGGAAUCAGAUGUCUGCUGAGGACAAUAGCAAAGAUUCACAUGCCUAAGGAAAUUGGCUUAAUACAAAAUGAGUCCUACUGCUACCCUAAUCUAUGGCCCUACAGACCUACUUAACAGAAGAGUGAAAGACUGGAAAUGUGACUCCAAUCAGUCAUCAUAUUUCAAGGAAUAAAGCAGAAGGAGCUAGUGAUGGGAUCGACAAUGCAAUGAAGAAAUGCAAACACUGCAAAAUCCUUCAUAAGCAGAGGUGCAAUCACAAAUGAUCAAUAAUCAAAGUAUUUUGCAGGUACACAGCAGGAAGAACCAAUAACUGGAGGGACAAAAGGUGGAAGAAAAAACACUGGUAAUAGGAAUGUAAGCAGUCUCAAGUCAAAAGUGUAAACACUUAAGUCCCUUUCAUGAAACUCAUCUACUAGAGGGACUGAUGGAAGA